rnacentral:rRNA from 1 species
GCAGUCGAGGGGCAGCGGGGAGGUAGCAAUACUUUCGCCGGCGACCGGCGCACUGGUGAGUAACACGUAUGGAACCUGCCCGUAGCAGGGGGAUAAGCGGAAGAAAUUCCGUCUAAUACCGCGUAAUAACUCCGAGAGGCAUCUCAUGGAGUUUAAAGGGUAACACCGGCUACGGAUGGCCAUGCGGCGCAUUAGCUAGUUGGCGGGGUAACGGCCCACCAAGGCGACGAUGCGUAGGGGUUCUGAGAGGAAGGUCCCCCACACUGGUACUGAGACACGGACCAGACUCCUACGGGAGGCAGCAGUGAGGAAUAUUGGUCAAUGGGCGCGAGCCUGAACCAGCCAAGUCGCGUGAGGGAAGACGGUCCUAUGGAUUGUAAACCUCUUUUGUCGGGGAGCAAAAGACGCCACGCGUGGCGUUCCGAGAGUACCCGAAGAAAAAGCAUCGGCUAACUCCGUGCCAGCAGCCGCGGUAAUACGGAGGAUGCGAGCGUUAUCCGGAUUUAUUGGGUUUAAAGGGUGCGCAGGCGGAAGAUCAAGUCAGCGGUAAAAUUGAGAGGCUCAACCUCUUCGAGCCGUUGAAACUGGUUUUCUUGAGUGAGCGAGAAGUAUGCGGAAUGCGUGGUGUAGCGGUGAAAUGCAUAGAUAUCACGCAGAACUCCGAUUGCGAAGGCAGCAUACCGGCGCUCAACUGACGCUCAUGCACGAAAGUGUGGGUAUCGAACAGGACUAGAUACCCUGGUAGUCCACACAGUAAACGAUGAAUACUAAUUGUUCGGGGAGAGUGAUCCCUGAGUGAUACAGCGAAAGCGUUAAGUAUUCCACCUGGG